rnacentral:misc_RNA from 1 species
UUAUCUUCACUUGUUCAAUUUUGCUUUCUCCUCUUGGGCAGGUUGCGUAUAAACUUGUUAAAUUAAAUGUCUAAGCGGUAGUCAAUGUCGCGUUCUCUACUCCGUUUUUCGUAAUUUGUUUUUUUCUGCUCACUUUAGUGUGUGUGAAACCUAGGUUAGCCUUUGAACCAAAAUGGGAAAUAACAUUAAAAUUCUGAAUACUUCUUCACAACUUAAGUGGUUGAAGCAAAUGCCUACCAUUUCUUCUCCGAAUUUCCCCUCUUACCCUCUUCAACAGCAGAGGCAGCAUCGAAUGCUUAUACCGAAAUAAUUAGCUUCACUUCAACACUUGUGUCAAAAAUCAAUGCUUUUGAACCCAGAAGAGUUAUCGCAAACUGCACAGCCGGCACAACAGCAAUUGGGGUAUCCGCAGAUGCAUCAGAAUCAGCAGCUCCAACAGCAACAACAACAACCUCAGCAGGUUUUGCAUCAGCAGCAAUCUUCUCCAGCAAUGAAUUCCCCUGGUGGUCAUAAUUUACUGAGUUUGACUGGAUCAGAACCAGAUGCCACUGGAUCUGGGACAACGACUCCUGGGAGUAGUUCAAGCCAGGGGGCUGAAGCAAGCAAUCAGUUUCUUGGGAAGAGAAAGAUUCAGGAUUUAGUUUCACAGGUGGAUCCUCAGGGAAGAGUUGAUCCUGAAGUUGAACAGUUUCUUUUAGAGAUCGCUGAUGACUUUAUUGAUUCGGUUACUACAUUUUCUUGCAAUUUGGCGAAGCAUCGGAAAUCUUCGACUCUGGAGUCCAAAGAUAUACUGUUACAUUUAGAGAAAGAUUGGAAUUUGACUGUCCCAGGUUUUUCAAGUGAGGAUAAGAAACACUGCCCUGAACAUUCAUCAGGUGAUCUCUGCAAAGAGCGUUUGGAAAUGAUACCUGAUAUGAUGGAGGCUUCACCACAAGCUGAAGCAAGUACAAGCAGCAGCGCGAAGGAGAUCGUAAGUCCAGGGCUGGGUGACCAGGUUGGUUCGACUGACAUAAUCGGACCACCAAGUUCAGAGGAAUUGGCUUCACCAUCUAAUGGUGAAAUAUAGUUCAACUAUAACAAGAUGUGAUGUUCCGUGGAGAUUGGUAUACCCCUUGCUUUACUGUAAUAAAACCUUUUUCAACUUUAGUUUGCUUGUCGACUGAAG